GUAUAUUUUGCCCGUGAUGGCUCCCCUCAUCGGGGAUGAAACUGGGAACAGGGUGCGGACACGGAAUCAUGCCUCGUCCAAUGCCCUGGCUGCCCCCGCAACUGUAAGCGGCGAGCCCCGGCUCUCACUGUGCCACUGGUCCGUUUCGCGACCGGGAAGGCCGAGCCGAGGGCGCUGAACCGCGAGCCAGGAGACCGGCCAUCGCCUGCAUCGCCUA
rnacentral:ncRNA from 2 species